AGGCAGGUGCACAAGGAAGGUCAAUCAGUCAGAAAUGCAGACAGUGCUAAUAAGUUGCCUGCUAAAGGGGCCUAGUUAGAGUGAUUAAGCUCAGGGCAAUUUUUCUAUCAAAAGCUUUUUAGUUGUAACAAAAUAAAAUGGCUAACUGUGAGAAAAAUUUAAUUAUAACUCCAUUAUAGGAUAUUUCACUAAAACUGUGAACAUCGAACUCUGGAUUCUGUGGUCUGGUGUGCAAUGGAGGCUGUAAAGCAAAUAUGUUUUUAAGCAAAUACAGCAAAUAUGGCUCUAAAUAGACUGAAUACAGCAUGGACAUCAGAUCGCCAUGGUAGAUUCAACUGAAGCGAUUUCAUUUUCCACCUGGUUUCUCUGCACAUGAACGAAAUCCUGGCUUAUCUUUGGUGUGGCGAUUCUACCCAUUAUAAAAGUCUCACAUGCAGGACUUGAGCGGUUUUUGGAC
rnacentral:lncRNA from 1 species